rnacentral:rRNA from 1 species
GACGUAGGAGGCGAGCGUUGUCCGGAUUCAUUGGGCGUAAAGAGCUCGUAGGCGGCUAAGUAAGUCAGGUGUGAAAACUCCAGGCUCAACCUGGAGACGCCACCUGAUACUGCUUUGGCUAGAGUCCGGUAGGGGAGCAUGGAAUUCCUGGUGUAGCGGUGAAAUGCGCAGAUAUCAGGAGGAACACCAGUGGCGAAGGCGGUGCUCUGGGCCGGAACUGACGCUGAGGAGCGAAAGCGUGGGGAGCAAACAGG